GAGCACGUAGGUGGGUUUGUAAGUCAGAUGUGAAAGCCUUCUGUUCAACGGAAGAAUUGCAUCUGAAACUGCGAGUCUUGAGUGUAGGAGGGGAGAAUGGAACUUCUGGUGGAGCGGUGAAAUGCGUAGAUAUCAGAAGGAACGCCGGCGGCGAAAGCGAUUCUCUGGCCUAUUACUGACACUCAGUGUGCGAAAGCUAGGGGAGCAAACGGGAUUAGAUACCCCAGUAGUCCUAGCCGUAAACGAUGGGCACUAAGUAGAGGGGUUUU
rnacentral:rRNA from 1 species